CAUAAAGAACCUUUAACAUCUGAAGAACCUUUGUUUCACAAAAGGUAAUUUGUGUUGAAAGAUUCUUUAGAUUAUAAAAAGACAAGAAAGAGACGGUUCUUUAAAGAACCUUUGACUGAAUUAGGCUAGUGACAAUGCCCCUGAAUUCUCGAGAUACCCCAACCGGAGGUAGAACUAAACCCAACAAUGUUUUUCCUCAUCUCUAAGGUCUCCCAUAUAUGAAAUGGAUUCUUGGCUAAAAAUAUUUUACUGCUAAGAUUGUUAAAUUAACAGAUAUUGUUAUACACCCCAAAAUCAAUAAAGGACUAAAAUAUAGCCUGUCCGUAUGGGAGUUAAGGCAUAUAAACUAAUGCAGAUCAAUCACACAAGCUCUGAGAGCUUUGAAACUUGACAUGUUUGUAGUCAGGAAGUUGAUUUAACUACUAGAAAAGACUGGAUGUGUUUACAUGUGUCUAUUUAUUCCAUACAUCAAGAUAUUCACAUCCAGUCUUUUCUAGUAGUUAAAUCAACUUCCUGACUACAAACAUGUCAAGUUUCAAAGCUCUCAGAGCUUGUGUGAUUGAUCUGCAUUAGUUUAUAUACCUUAACUCCCAUACGGACAGGCUAAAUUUUAGUCCUUUAUUGGUUUUGUGGUGUAUAACAAUAUCUGUUAAUUUAAUAAUCUUAGCAGUAAAAUAUUUUUAGCCAAGAAUCCAUUUCAUAUAUGGGAGACCUUAGAGAUUAAGAAAAACAUUGUUGGGUUUAGUUCUACCUCCGGUAGGGGUAUCUCGAAAACUAAAGCACUUUUUGACCAUUUGUCACUAGCCUAAAUGGUUCUUCUAUGGCAUCGCUGUAAAGAUCCUUUUAAAGGUUAAAUUUUUAAGAGUGUAUUUGUUUUUACGGUUACUUUUUCUGAAUAAAUAAAUGUAGCAUAGUAACUAGACUUCUUUGAUUGUGUAUGGUAUUGGAAGGUUACAAUAUUCAUGUACCAUAGUUUACAAUAUAAUUAGUUUAAAAUAUAAUUUUUGUUAGUGUUGAAACAACUGUGGAAAGGCAGAAUCUUUGUGUGUGUGUGUGUGUGUGUGUUGUGCUGUCCGUCUGUUGCAUUAAUGUUUGAUGGGAAGGUGGUGAAGAGUGUGUGACACACCCUCGUCUAACCUCGCAUAUCUCCUACUGUUCUCUUUUAGUUAUUCAUGACUUGUGCUCCCUUUCUCUUUAUUCUUUCCAUCUUUCAGUCUGAAAGUUAAACUUACACAGCCACAGACAUCAGAACAGUGAGAGUUUCUUCGUGAAGAGGAGGAAACAUUUUUGGCAUGAAGCAAUUAG
rnacentral:lncRNA from 1 species